UCAAGUUUGGUGGCACCAAGGUCCCGGUGACCCCAAUGUGAGGGUGACACCAGGGUUGGUGACACUGAGAAGGUGGCACCAAGGUGACGGUGGCAUGGAGGGGGUGGUGGCACCAAGGUGGGGGUGGCAUCAAGGUUGGUGACAUAAGAAUCCUGACACCAAUGUGAAGGCAUCAGCAGGGUUGGUGACACUGAGGAGGUGGCACUGAGGGGAGGGUGACACUGAUGGUGGCACCAGGUCAGGGUGACACCGAGGCUGGUGACACCGGGGUUGGUGACACAAAGGUGAGAGUGGCACCAAGGGGGAGGUGGCCCCAAGGUUGGUGACACUGAGGGCAAGGUGGCACUGAGGAGGAGGUGACACCAAGUUGAGGGUGACAUCAAUUAGGGUGGACACCAAGGUGAGGGUGUGUUUGGGGUUGAGUGUUUUUCUAUCACUGUGUCAAUUUAAAGAAUUUUUACCAUUAUGAUGCCAAUGGAGCUGGCCGGGUUACACCCAGGACCUUUGACAACUCUAGACAAAAGGGAUAGGUGGGAGCUGAGCUUCCAGAGGGGCUCUUGUGCUUCUGGAGGGGACUCGUGUUUCCAGCGACCUCGGAGGAGGACUGCUCCCAUCUCCAGCCAUGCACCCGAACACAGGAGAGCCAGACCGUCUGCGAUCACCUGCCCUGCAUCUGCCCCACUACAGCCUCCUGCCUCUACAGACACAGCUGAGCACCAAAACCCAAACGGUGAGCGAGGAGCUGCCCGCUCCAGCCUGUUCCCACCCGAGACUGGAGCGGCCGCUGCCACCUCCUCCCACCUCCGCUCCCGCCGAGAGAGAGUGUGCCCACAGCUAAAGAAAGGACUGGAACCGAGUAAUCUGUUCUGUUUUGUUGGUAAUUUUAACAACUGCUGUUGUUUCUGCUUGUACGGUUAGAUAUAUUAGUAAAAGAGCUGUUAUUCCUACCCCCUUA